rnacentral:rRNA from 1 species
UACAGAGGAUGCGAGCGUUAAUCGGAAUUACUGGGCGUAAAGCGCACGUAGGUGGCGACGUAAGUCGGGUGUGAAAGCCCCGGGCUCAACCUGGGAAUUGCAUUCGAGACUGCAUUGCUGGAGUACGGAAGAGGAAGGCGGAAUUCCCGGUGUAGCGGUGAAAUGCGUAGAUAUCGGGAGGAACAUCAGUGGCGAAGGCGGCCUUCUGGUCCAGUACUGACACUCAAGUGCGAAAGCGUGGGGAGCAAACAGG